AGCGCAGGCGGACCGGCAAGUUGGAAGUGAAAACCAUGGGCUCAACCCAUGAAUUGCUUUCAAAACUGCUGGCCUUGAGUAGUGCAGAGGUAGGCGGAAUUCCCGGUGUAGCGGUGGAAUGCGUAGAUAUCGGGAGGAACACCAGUGGCGAAGGCGGCCUACUGGGCACCAACUGACGCUGAGGCUCGAAAGUAUGGGUAGCAAACA
rnacentral:rRNA from 1 species